rnacentral:lncRNA from 10 species
AGAAGUGCCUGGGCUCCAUGCAGCAAAAAAUACCAUGUGUGUUUGUGAUGGAGGUGAAAGAGGAGGCUUCUGCCAAAAGGGAGCAGCAGAUUAGCCAUACCUGUGGGCUCAACUAAAUAGAAAACCCAACAAACAAGCCAAAAAAGAUUUUAAAUUUUUCUACAUUCAAAAGAAAACACAAAAGGAUUUUUUGGGAACCUUGAGGAGGACUUCAAACAGGCUCCAGAGUGCUGGAUACCAGCAAAGGAAAUAGAACAAUUAAAUGGGAAUCCAGCGCCUGAUGAAAAUGGACACAUUCUUGGUUGAGUACCAGGAGAAAAAAACAACAAACAGUACUGCUGGCAUUCCUCUGUAGUUCAUUAUGAAUUUGAAAUUGCCCUGGUACUAAAGCAUCAUCCUGAUGAACCUGGGCUUUUGGAAAUUAGUGUAGUGCCACUAAUUUUAGAACAAACACUGGAGCUUAUAGGAACAAAUAUCAAUGGAAACCCAUGUGGGUUAGGAAGCAAGAAGCAUCCAUUACAUCUUCUUAUACCACAUGGAGCAUUCCAAAUAAGAAAUCUACAAGAAAUCUACCUGUUUGGAAAUACAAUGGUCUCUUGUCCUGCUUUGAAGUUUGCAAAGAGGGUAAAAUUGAAAGAAUAGUACUGCAUUGCAGUGAUGGUUGUUAGAUUAAGGUCCAUCACCAUCGUCUUGGUUAAUGCUGGCCUAUCCCAGAUACUUACAUUAACUCAAAACAAGUUAUUAUCAACAUGAACCUGAACAAAUGUGAUUCUGCCUUUGAUAUUAAGUGUUUGUUUAAUCAUUUUUCAAAAAUAGAUAGAAAUAGGGUAGGCUGAAAUAUAUAAUAUUUGAUGUAUA